rnacentral:rRNA from 1 species
AAUCAACGCUGGCGGCGUGCCUCAGACAUGCAAGUCGAACGAUUAAGACUCCCUUCGGGGAGUGCAUAAAGUGGCGCACGGGUGAGUAACACGUAGGUAAUGUACCUUUGGGUGGGGAACAACUUAGGGAAACUUAAGCUGAUACCGCAUAAUACAGCGGCUCGACAUCGAGACAGUUGUUAAAGAUUUAUCGCCUGAAGAGCAGCCUGCGGCAGAUUAGCUAGUUGGUAAGGUAAUGGCUUACCAAGGCUACGAUCUGUAACCGACCUGAGAGGGUGGUCGGUCACACUGACACUGAAUAACGGGUCAGACUCCUACGGGAGGCAGCAGUCGGGAAUUUUGGGCAAUGGGCGCAAGCCUGACCCAGCAACGCCGCGUGAAGGAUGAAGUAUUUCGGUAUGUAAACUUCGUAAGAAUAGGAAGAAUAAAUGACGGUACUAUUUGUAAGGUCCGGCUAACUACGUGCCAGCAGCCGCCGUAAUAC